CUAGAAACAAAAGAGCUAUAAAUAGAUUUCUGUUGCUGUUUCUUGUAGCCUUCAGUCAGAGCUACAAGGUUACCUUUUUGGUAAUGUCCUUUUUGCUAUAAAUAUAUGCUAUCGUAGCUUCUUUUAUUGUAUUGUAACACUGUAAGAGUGGGGAUCUGGAUCAGCAUACACUAUAUCUGUUUCCCGAUAAGAGGAAGCGAUUAUCGGAACAAGAUCAUCCUAUUAUCGAAUUUAAAGAUCUAUAUUUGACUCGCUCGAGGAUGAACGCGGGGAUGAACGUUUAAAAAAUCGAACUCGUCUCAAGUGGUCGAGGUGUUGCCAGCUUCUCUUCGAUCACCAACGGCGAAGCAUUUACGUCAAAGACUGUAUGACGUCACCCAAUGAGCUAGAAUGUCAGUUAAAAACGUUAAAUGUUUAAUAUUUUGUUUUUUCUGCAAAUAAAAGUCAUUUGCCUUCAAAGAAAAGAAAAA
rnacentral:lncRNA from 1 species